rnacentral:rRNA from 1 species
GUCUGGCCUGCCCACUGAAACGUUUUAAAGGGCCGCGGUAAUUUGACCGUGCGAAGGUAGCAUAAUCAGUAGUCUUUUAAUUGGAGGCUGGAAUGAAUGGUCGAACAAAGAGUUAGCUGUCUUUAUGCAAUAUUUGAAGUUUACUUUUAAGUGAAAAGGCUUAAAUACACUGGGGGGACGAUAAGACCCUAUAAAACUUUACAAAUACAGCUUGUGUUUUUUAAAUUAAAGUUUAAUAUAAAUUACUAUCUAUUUGUUAUGUUGGGGCGACAAAGAUAUAAUUAGAGUAACUGUCAGUUUUAUUAAAUAGUAAUAAUUAGUUUCAUUGAUCCUUUAUUAGAGAUUAUAAGAUUAAGUUACUUUAGGGAUAACAGCGUAAUUUUCUUUGAGAGUCCAUAUCGACAAGAAUAGUUGCGACCUCGAUGUUGAAUUAAGGUUUCCCUCAGGUGAAGCAGUUUGAGUGGUGGGUCUGUUCGACCUU